rnacentral:rRNA from 1 species
CCUACGGGGGGCUUCAGUGAGGAAUAUUGGUCAAUGGGCGCGAGCCUGAACCAGCCAAGUAGCGUGAAAGAUGACUGCCCUAUGGGUUGUAAACUUCUUUUAUCAAGGAAUAAAACGAGGCACGUGUGCCUUUUUGCAUGUACUUUAUGAAUAAGGAUCGGCUAACUCCGUGCCAGCAGCCGCGGUAAUACGGAGGAUCCGAGUGUUAUCCGGAUUUAUUGGGUUUAAAGGGAGCGUAGAUGGGUUGUUAAGUCAGUUGUGAAAGUUUGCGGCUCAACCGUAAAAUUGCAAUUGAUACUGGCAGGCUGGAGUAGAGUGGAGGUAGGCGGAAUUCGUGGUGUAGCGGUGAAAUGCUUAGAUAUCACGAAGAACCCCGAUUGCGAAGGCAGCUUACCAA